rnacentral:rRNA from 1 species
GACGAACGCUGGCGGCGUGCCUAAUACAUGCAAGUCGAACGAGAGCGACCGGUGCUUGCACUGGUCAAUCUAGUGGCGAACGGGUGAGUAACACGUGGGUAACCUGCCCAUCAGAGGGGGAUAACAUUCGGAAACGGAUGCUAAAACCGCAUAGGUUCUACAGUCGCAUGACUGAAGAAGGAAAAGAGGCUUCGGCUUCUGCUGAUGGAUGGACCCGCGGUGCAUUAGCUAGUUGGUGAGGUAACGGCUCACCAAGGCUGUGAUGCAUAGCCGACCUGAGAGGGUGAUCGGCCACAUUGGGACUGAGACACGGCCCAAACUCCUACGGGAGGCAGCAGUAGGGAAUCUUCCGCAAUGGACGCAAGUCUGACGGAGCAACGCCGCGUGAGUGAAGAAGGAUUUCGGUUCGUAAAACUCUGUUGUUAGAGAAGAACAGCGCAUAGAGUAACUGUUAUGCGUGUGACGGUAUCUAACCAGAAAGCCACGGCUAACUACGUGCCAGCCGCCGCCGUAACAC